rnacentral:rRNA from 1 species
CCGUAACACAGGUGCUGCAUGGCUGUCGUCAGCUCGUGUCGUGAGAUGUUGGGUUAAGUCCCGCAACGAGCGCAACCCUUGUCAUUAGUUGCUACAUUCAGUUGGGCACUCUAAUGAGACUGCCGGUGACAAGCCGGAGGAAGGUGGGGAUGACGUCAAGUCCUCAUGGCCCUUAUAGGUGGGGCUACACACGUCAUACAAUGGCUGGUACAAAGGGUUGCCAACCCGCGAGGGGGAGCCAAUCCCAUAAAGCCAGUCGUAGUCCGGAUCGUAGUCUGUAACUCGACUACGUGAAGUCGGAAUCGCUAGUAAUCGUGGAUCAGAAUGUCACGGUGAAUACGUUCCCGGGUCUU